rnacentral:rRNA from 1 species
GAUGAACGCUAGCGGCAGGCUUAACACAUGCAAGUCGAGGGGCAGCGAGGCCGUAGCAAUACGGCUGUCGGCGACCGGCGCACGGGUGCGUAACGCGUAUGCAACCUACCCGUAACAGGGGGAUAACACUGAGAAAUUGGUACUAAUACCCCAUAACAUCACCGGAGGCAUCUUCGGUGGUUGAAAACUCAGGUGGUCAGAGAUGGACAUGCGUUGUAUUAGCUAGUUGGUGAGGUAACGGCUCACCAAGGCGACGAUACAUAGGGGGACUGAGAGGUCAACCCCCCACAUUGGUACUGAGACACGGACCAA